GCUCAGGAUGAACGCUAGCGGCAGGCCUAACACAUGCAAGUCGAGGGGCAGCAUAUCUAGCUUGCUAGAUGAUGGCGACCGGCGCACGGGUGCGGAACGCGUAUGGAACCUACCUUUGUCAGGGGAAUAGCCCAGAGAAAUUUGGAUUAAUGCCCCAUGGUAACAUUAUAUUGCAUGAUAUUUUGUUUAAAGAUUCAUCGGACAAAGAUGGCCAUGCGUACCAUUAGUUAGUUGGUAAGGUAACGGCUUACCAAGGCAGCGAUGGUUAGGGGCCCUGAGAGGGGGAUCCCCCACACUGGUACUGAGACACGGACCAGACUCCUACGGGAGGCAGCAGUGAGGAAUAUUGGACAAUGGGCGGGAGCCUGAUCCAGCCAUGCCGCGUGCAGGAUGACGGCCCUAUGGGUUGUAAACUGCUUUUGUACGGGAAGAAACCUGUCCACGUGUGGACAGCUGACGGUACCGUAAGAAUAAGGACCGGCUAACUCCGUGCCAGCAGCCGCGGUAAUACGGAGGGUCCGAGCGUUAUCCGGAAUCAUUGGGUUUAAAGGGUCCGUAGGUGGGCGUGUAAGUCAGAGGUGAAAGUUUGUGGCUCAACCAUAAAAUUGCCUUUGAUACUGCAGGUCUUGAGUUAUAGUGGAGUUGCCGGAACAUGUGGUGUAGCGGUGAAAUGCAUAGAUAUCACAUAGAACACCGAUCGCGAAGGCAGGUGACUAACUAUAUACUGACACUGAUGGACGAAAGCGUGGGGAGCGAACGGGAUUAGAUACCCCGGUAGUCCACGCCGUAAACGAUGGAUACUAGCUGUCGGGUCUUCGGACUCGGCGGCCAAGCGAAAGUGAUAAGUAUCCCACCUGGGGAGUACGUUCGCAAGAAUGAAACUCAAA
rnacentral:rRNA from 1 species